AUUGAACGCUGGCGGCAGGCCUAACACAUGCAAGUCGAGCGGAUGAAGGGAGCUUGCUCCUGGAUUCAGCGGCGGACGGGUGAGUAAUGCCUAGGAAUCUGCCUGGUAGUGGGGGAUAACGUCCGGAAACGGGCGCUAAUACCGCAUACGUCCUGAGGGAGAAAGUGGGGGAUCUUCGGACCUCACGCUAUCAGAUGAGCCUAGGUCGGAUUAGCUAGUUGGUGGGGUAAAGGCCUACCAAGGCGACGAUCCGUAACUGGUCUGAGAGGAUGAUCAGUCACACUGGAACUGAGACACGGUCCAGACUCCUACGGGAGGCAGCAGUGGGGAAUAUUGGACAAUGGGCGAAAGCCUGAGCCAGCCAGGCCGCGUGUGUGAAGAAGGUCUUCGGAUUGUAAAGCACUUUAAGUUGGGAGGAAGGGCAGUAAGUUAAUACCUUGCUGUUUUGACGUUACCAACAGAAUAAGCACCGGCGAACUUCGU
rnacentral:rRNA from 1 species